ACACCAAGAAGUUGAGUCAUUUUGUUUAUGGUUAUAAAAGGCAGUUAAAUUAUAUAAAAUAAAAUGAAUUAAGUUGUUUAAUGUUUUAUAUAGAGGUAAAAUUUAAAUAUAAUAGCAUAAUUUGUUGGCAGCUUUAUUGUAUUGAAUCUGCGAAGUUUUUGAGGGAAACUGGGAUUAGGUACCCCAUUAUUCUUAAGAGUAAAUUGUAUUAUAUAACUACCGGAGUACUAUGAAUAAAUUAAAUUUAAAACUCAAAGGACUUGGCGGUGUCUUAGACCAUUUAGGGGAACCUGUCUCGUAAUCGACAGUCCACGUUAUACCUGACCUUCUUUUGUUUAACAGUUUGUAUACCGUUGUCGUCAGGUAACUUUUUAGAGAGUUGAAGUUAGCAAUAUAAAUAGAUUAUUUAAUACGUCAAAUCAAGGUGCAGCUAAUAAGGAGGGGAGGAUGGGUUACAAUUAUUUACUUAUAAUUACGGAAAUAAAUAUAGAAGUAUUUUAUUUAAGGAGGACUUAAAAGUAAAUUAGUAUAUAUAUAUAAUUUGAAUGAGGCUCUGAGACGUGU
rnacentral:rRNA from 1 species